GCGUUACCAACCUGACCCCAUGCUCCAGAAUAGCUCUUGGAAACGGGUGGUAAUGCUGGAUGCUCCAACUUGACGCAUGUCUUGUUGGGAAAGUGUUUAGUGGCAUGGGAUGGGGUCGCGUCCUAUCAGCUUGUAGGCGGGGUAAUGGCCCACCUAGGCUUCGACGGGUAGCCGGCCUGAGAGGGCGGACGGCCACAUUGGGACUGAGAUACGGCCCAGACUCCUACGGGAGGCAGCAGCG
rnacentral:rRNA from 1 species